UACGUAGGUGGCAAGCGUUGUCCGGAUUUACUGGGCGUAAAGGGCGUGCAGGCGGUUUGUUAAGUGCAGGGUGAAAGCUCCCGGCUCAACUGGGAGAGGUCCUUGCAUACUGGCAAACUCGAGGGAGGCAGAGGAGAGUGGAAUUCCCGGUGUAGUGGUGAUAUGCGUAGAUAUCGGGAGGAACACCUGUGGCGAAGGCGGCUUUCUGGGCCUUACCUGACGCUGAGACGCGAAAGCGUGGGGAGCGAACCGG
rnacentral:rRNA from 1 species